rnacentral:rRNA from 1 species
AGCGAACGCUGGCGGCGUGCUUAACACAUGCAAGUCGAACGGAUCCGGGGGGCAACCCUCGGGUUAGUGGCGAACGGGUGAGUAACACGUGGGUAAUCUUCCCCCGAGUGAGGAAUAAGCUUGCGAAAGCGGGUCUAAUACCGCAUGACGCUUCGGGACUUCAGUCUUCGAAGCCAAAGCCGUAAGGCGCUUGGGGAUGAGCCUGCGUCCUAUUAGCUAGUUGGUAGGGUAAUGGCCUACCAAGGCGAAGAUGGUUAGCUGGUCUGAGAGGAUGACCAGCCACACUGGCACUGAAACACGGGCCAGACUCCUACGGGAGGCAG